rnacentral:rRNA from 1 species
GAAGAGUUUGAUCAUGGCUCAGAUUGAACGCUGGCGGCAGGCCUAACACAUGCAAGUCGAGCGGAAACGAUCCUAGCUUGCUAGGAGGCGUCGAGCGGCGGACGGGUGAGUAAUGCAUAGGAAUCUGCCCGGUAGUGGGGGAUAACUUGAGGAAACUCAAGCUAAUACCGCAUACGCCCUACGGGGGAAAGCAGGGGCUCUUCGGACCUUGCGCUAUCGGAUGAGCUUAUGUCGGAUUAGCUGGUUGGUGAGGUAACGGCUCACCAAGGCGACGAUCCGUAGCUGGUCUGAGAGGAUGAUCAGCCACAUCGGGACUGAGACACGGCCCGAACUCCUACGGGAGGCAGCAGUGGGGAAUAUUGGACAAUGGGGGCAACCCUGAUCCAGCCAUGCCGCGUGUGUGAAGAAGGCCCUCGGGUUGUAAAGCACUUUCAGCGAGGAAGAAUGCUUGUCGGUUAAUACCCGGCAAGGGAGACAUCACUCGCAGAAGAAGCACCGGCUAACUCCGUGCCAGCAGCCGCGGUAAUACGGAGGGUGCGAGCGUUAAUCGGAAUUACUGGGCGUAAAGCGUGCGUAGGCGGCUUGAUAAGCCGGUUGUGAAAGCCCCGGGCUCAACCUGGGAACGGCAUCCGGAACUGUUAGGCUAGAGUGCAGGAGAGGAAGGUAGAAUUCCCGGUGUAGCGGUGAAAUGCGUAGAGAUCGGGAGGAAUACCAGUGGCGAAGGCGGCCUUCUGGACUGACACUGACGCUGAGGUACGAAAGCGUGGGUAGCAAACAGGAUUAGAUACCCUGGUAGUCCACGCCGUAAACGAUGUCGACUAGCCGUUGGGGUCCUCGAGACCUUUGUGGCGCAGUUAACGCACUAAGUCGACCGCCUGGGGAGUACGGCCGCAAGGUUAAAACUCAAAUGAAUUGACGGGGGCCCGCACAAGCGGUGGAGCAUGUGGUUUAAUUCG